UAGGUGAUAGUUCAACUGGAAGAAUACUUGCUAGUCGCAAGAGACUGCGGGUUCGAGUCCCGCACACCAUACAA
rnacentral:tRNA from 1 species